UAGUUUACGCGUGUGAGCCCGACAGAGAAGGCCAGUUUUCUUGGGGGUCGGCUACGUUGGCGUAUAUGUAUCGCCAGUUAGGAUUCUCGAGCCGGGCUGAUGCGGCAGGUAUCAUUGGAUGUCUGACAUUGUUACAGACCUGGAUAUACGAGUAUUUUCCUGCGUUUCGACUACACCGCGACUUAGUUCCUAUUGGGGAUUGGCAGCCACGUGCCUAUGCGUGGAGUCCGCAGUUCGAGAAGAAGUCCAUUGACCGCCUGAGAUCGAUACGGUUAUUGCUUGACAGGAUGUCCCCAUUAGAGGUGAACUGGAUGCCUUUCGGCCAGGAUCCUAGUAAUAAGGUACCUAGGGCCCUCUACACGGGACUGAUUCAGUAUCGUGAGAUUGUAGAGGCGUACAUGCCGCAGCGCUGUCUUCGCCAGCUUGGAUUUGUCCAACUUAUUCCUCCUCCACCAGCAUGGUCUAGUAAGGCGGUAUGAUCUGUGUCGUCGAAGGAGUACGUCGUCCAAUGGCCGGGAAGCAUAAUUGCCACGUGGGAGCAGUUUCCGAUGGUUGCCCGUCUAUGGACGGCGGAGCUGCAGCGGCCGCCAACUGGGGUGACUGUCAUGUGUGACCAGCACUACAUGGAAUGGUACAACCGGUAUUCGCACACGAGGUUGAUCAGAGACCUCCACCACGGCGACGAUGCCGAUGAUGAUGAUGUGCCACCGCCCACUGCCGUGGAUGCGUGAAUGAGAAAGAUGAUGCAGCUGGGACACAGACUUUUUGAGGAGAGGGACAAGAUGACGACUGCAUCAGGCAGAGCUGUUAUUGAUGAUCUGGAACGGGCCCUGGAGCAGUGGCAGUGGGCGUCACAGAGGGAUUACUGAUUUGUGGGUAGUUUAUUUAUAGAACAUUUUGUACAUUAUCAUAGUUGUUUGUAAAAUUUGACAUUAUCUUUUUAGUUCGUAACAUUUGAAAUUAUUAUUUUAAAUUUUUAAAAUUUGACAUUAUCUUUUUAGUUUGUAACGCGCAAGAUCUAAUUAGUGUGCAUGCAAGAUAUAAAUUUAGUCAAAAUUAGAAUACGAAAAAUAAAUAAAUGGAAUAAAAAUAGCAAUAAAAAUACAAGGUUACAUAGAAAAGGUAGGUAUAUGCGUGAAAAACUAAAAGGCAGCUAGGUUGUUCCACUGCUACAUCCGGGCAUGAUACAGCGCAUCCCAACUCUACGCUUGU